AUGAAUCGGAGACAGUGUUACUACUGUGGUGUGUGUGUGUUUAAAAUUAGUUUCUUCUUUCUCAUUAAAAGUGAGCUAGUAAAAGGGGUAGGGAGAGUGGAUGGGUAAAAUGCAAAGUGUGAUUAAAUGUCAGGAGCUGGCUUGAACUGCCAACUCCCCCAGGCUUGGCAGCAGAAAACCAAACCAAACACACUCCAGGAAUACUGUAUAUUAAUGAGAAGCUCCAGCCUCCAGGGGCAGAUGUGAUAAAAUCUGGGAAAAUGUGGGGCUUCAAGGACGUUGCCUAGAAAGAACAAUAGUCGGAUUUUUCCAGGGCAGGAAGUGUGGGUUGAAUGAGUUUUUAUUUUAUUUUUUCUUAAUUUCCUGAAUGUGUAAGCAACAGUUUUGAGCCCCAGAGGCCUGGGCUGGGGGUAGGACUGCAGCCAGGGAGUGCUGUGCUCAGGGAACUGCAGACUGGAGAGGAGGGAAGAGCUCCAGCUGCACCUCUGUGGAGGCUGGGAGUCCCCUUUGUGGGACGCAUCUUGGUGUCUGGUAGAGAGGGAAGCAUGCAUCACGUCCGUGACGAAGGCCUAGAAUGUCCCAAUGCAUCACAUUCAGGUGGCUGGAAAAUGUUUCCAUCUGCAUCAGGGCUGAACCAAAGCUGGAAGGUCCCUUGUUCUGCAGUGAUGAUAAAAAACUUAGAUUUUUCAGAUUUGUGCAGCACAAUCUAGAAAGGAAGAGCCCCGAGGAGCUGAGAUGUGGGUGUGGAAUGAUUUUUAGGCAGAGUCUUGUUGAAGUAAUACUCAACAAGAGUCCUUUUCAAUGAUUUCAAGUCUGUUGUGUAACAUGGAACACAACGAUGGCCUUCUUAAUCUGGUUUGGCCCUGAGAAGGCAGCCACCGCAUGUCACACAUGGCUACACUCUUGUAAAGUGCUGGCCCCUGGGGUCUUGUGACAGUCCAUAGCAGCAGCAGGCAGUGCAGCUGUAAAAGGACAGAGAGGGGGCCGGGUGCAGUGGCUCAUGCCUGUAAUACCAACACUCUGGGAGGCCGAGUCGGGUGGAUCGCUUGAGCCCAGGAGUUCGAGACCAGCCUGGGCAACAUGGUGAAACCCCGUCUCUACUAAAAAUACACACAUGCACAAAAGUUAGCUGAGUGUGGUAGCAUGCACCCACCACAGAGUCAAGAAUACAGAAAGCAAGGAAACAGUUAACAUUUUCUCCCCCCAGCACCCGUCCCCAAGAAAAAUCACAUUCUAUGAACGUGUUUCCAUGACUGUGGUUGGCUCCUCUAUUUUAAUGCCUAUAUUGGGGGUGUCUGGAGGGUCUGCCUUUCUGUUCAUGGCAGAGAUACUCAGGAUCACUCAAUGACUGGCUGUCCUACGUUGGGUGUUGCAAAUGGAUCGAGAGCCCUGUUUCCAUGAGUGCAAUCCUGGACCACUUAGGGGCAUCUGGGCCUGGGAAAACCCCAGCCAGGCUGUAGGAAAGACGCGGGAGGCAGCUGCGAAGAGCGCCUGGCUUUCUCAGCCAAGCAUUUGGCUCUCUGGAGACACACGCAGUUCUAUUCUGGCCUCAAAUCCUUCUAGGGGAUAGGGAGGUACCGAGAUGAAGCUGCCAAGUUUGGGCAAUUUUACCACUAAUCGUAUGAACACAAAUGGAAGAGGCAAAAUGAAAAUUGUUCCAUACAAUUGGACUCAAUGUGAACAAUUUGGGAUUUAUCAUGAAACACAGUAAUCAAAACAAAAAGGGUCCCUGCCCCAGAAAUAGUUUAAUAUCUUUGAGAAGAAAAGAAACAUAAGUGGUAAUAGGUUAGCCUAUGUGUUCUAGACUUCACUCUGGGAGGGGCUUAUAGAAAUGUCCCGAGAAAAGUCAAGGAAACUUCAAACCUGCUUCUUCCAGGUCCCAGGUUUGCCAAAUCCAGGAGGGAGUGUAGGUGCACAGACCCUGGCUGUGCCACAGUUUGUUCUGCUGCCAACCACGGCUGUUGGAAACAUUGAACGGCGGGUGGGGGUGCAUUCCAACAUCUCCAGGCCCCCGCUUACCUGAUGCAGAUUUGAGAGUAUGGCCAGGAGAGGCAGUGGCAAAGGCAUGUGGUUCCAGGCUGGCCCCAGGCACAAGGAUUUCUCUGCCCAAUGAAAUGGAUUCUUCCUUGACUUCUUAGAAAAUGAUGACAAUUAUUAGGCUCCUAAUAGACUGUUCCAUGAAGAGAGAGAAUUAAAAUGUACUCUUCCAAAGUCUAGUGUGUUGCUCACCCUCAAGUUUGGCUGUGGCUACUAUGAAUAAUGCUGUUAUGAAUAUUCAUGUUUAAGUUUUUCACUGAAUAUGCUUUCACUGUGCUUGGGGUUACACCUGAGAGUGGAAUUGCUAUGCAUAUGGGAAUUCUAUGCUUAACUUUUUGAGGAACUGCCAAGCUGUUCCAGGCUGCAACACUUCACAUUCCUGAGAGCAAGGUUUUAGGGUAAUUUCUCCACAUUCGCAUCCGCACUUGGUAUUUAACUUAAAAAAAAAUAUCGCUGCAUUAGUGGAUGUGAGGCACUAUCCCCCUGUUGUUUUGCAUUUCUCUAAUGACUAAUAAUACGUAGCACCUUUUUUUGUUCUUGUUGGCCAU
rnacentral:lncRNA from 1 species